UCAUCAAUGUUGUUUUCCCAAACUAAUCUGGUGUUGGAAGCAGAACAUGUGGCUGGAUGGACCUUAGGUGGCAGUUAUUCUAUUUUAAGUAAGUGUUGAGAAAGCAACAAUCAAAAUUUUCAAGCAUUUUCCCCACGAUAUUCUUCACAAGAGAUUAAGAAAAUAAAGGUGAAUUAAUGCCAGGUGCGUGAUGUGUUGAUUUUACUUACGCAAAUGGAAAAUAUAUGG